UUAGAGGCUGGGUCUGUUCGCUGUGACUAUAUCACUCGAGUGUCUCCGGUUUCAUCCCAAGAUGCUGCCUUUGCUGUUGCAACUGUUUCAAGAGUUCAGCCACAUCAGCACCGAGGACGGCCACUAAGUUGGAGCGAUAAGGCCUGGCUCGAAGUUCAUCCCAAAAGGUGUGGUUGAUUUCGGGGGGCCCAAGUUUGUCUUCAUCAAACUGGGGAGAAGGCCUUUCUUCAUGGACCUCGCUUUCUGCACAGGGGCGUCGUCAGUUCAAGCAGGAAAGGGAGAAACAAACUGCUGCCACAGCAGGAGCUGCAGGAUGAUUUACAGGAGAACAAAAAGAGACAAACCCUCGUUUUAGGGGCUCACAAACCAAAAAGGUUGGGAACCACUGCUAUAAAUUUUUUUGUGUGAAAAAUGGGAUACGCUAAACUCUUUAGCAUCUAAAAAUGCAUCAAAUUGAAGAGGAGAAAUCACUCUUUAGUGAAACUACUCAGGUGAACAUGUGACACAACUUCAUUUGAAGGGGUCAUGAGUUAAAAUGGUUGGGAAGCACUAGUCUAAGGUACAGUACACAAAAGUAACAUACUUUUGCCCAUAGUGUUGAUAGACAGACAACAAUUCACCUUGUACAGUAAUAUAUAAUAAUAUAUAGACAUAUACUGUCCAUAUAAACACAUUAUGAAUUCCAGUUUAAACCACAUUUUGCCGUGGGCAGCAGCAUCAGCUGGUACUUCAGAGUCGUCUUUAUCUGCCAGUUUUAAGAGACGUGACUUGGUGUCCGUGUGGGCGCAGAAAAGAAGUCUCCCUGACUGAUUCAAUGCCAACAUAAAAAAAGAAAAAUCUGGCAUUCAUGUGGAGGCAAGAGUUUCAGGUAACUCAAUCUAAAUAUCAAUGUCACCUAAUGCAAAUACAAUCUGAGCCAGGGCGAGACAGUUAAUGCAAAUAAAGCGUAUUUGCAACACACAGCCACUUUCACCCCCCCCACGCUUCACACUUGCAUACAAAGUAUUCCCUUCUGGUGUCCAGGCUAUCGUCUGCAUUUGUUUCACACCCUGAGUGGGAAGGAGACUUGUUUAUCACAUGCAUAUGACAGCCUCAAGGGUAGGUAGGAUUAAACUUUUGGCUUUUACUUAAAGUGGCUGCAGCAAAUUUCAUUCAACCUCCUCUGGCUCAGAUCGUCCCCUCAAGCUAAGAAGGGCAAUCUGAGGCAAGCCAAGCGUUUUUACCCAUAUGCUGGUUCUGUGACGUAGCUUUUGUGGGUCUGUAAAGCCUGUUAAAAUAUUGUAUGUGAUACUGGACUGUACAAAUAAACUUGAUUUUACUUUUGUCACUGA